rnacentral:rRNA from 1 species
AACGAACGCUGGCGGCAGGCUUAACACAUGCAAGUCGAACGGAGAAUUUUACUUCGGUGAAAUUCCUAGUGGCGGACGGGUGAGUAACGCGUGGGUAACCUGCCUUAUACAGGGGGAUAACAGUCAGAAAUGGCUGCUAAUACCGCAUAAGCGCACAGAGCUGCAUGGCUCAGUGUGAAAAACUCCGGUGGUAUAAGAUGGACCCGCGUUGGAUUAGCUUGUUGGUGGGGUAACGGCCCACCAAGGCGACGAUCCAUAGCCGGCCUGAGAGGGUGAACGGCCACAUUGGGACUGAGACACGGCCCAGACUCCUACGGGAGGCAGCAGUGGGGAAUAUUGCACAAUGGGGGAAACCCUGAUGCAGCGACGCCGCGUGAAGGAAGAAGUAUCUCGGUAUGUAAACUUCUAUCGGCAGGGAAGAUAGUGACGGUACCUGACUAAGAAGCCCCGGCUAACUACGUGCCAGCAGCCGCAGUAA